CUGGCCGUAAACGAUGGAUACUAGGUGUGGGUGAAGCAGUUCAUCCGUGCCGCAGUUAACGCGAUAAGUAUCCCGCCUGGGAACUACGGCCGCAAGGCUGAAACUCAAAGGAAUUGACGGGGGCCCGCACAAGCGGUGGAGCACGUGGUUUAAUUCGAUGCAAACCGAAGAACCUUACCUGGGUUUGACAUACAAGUGGUAUAGAAGUGAAAGCGGAUAGACCCUAGCUUGCUAGGGAGCUUGAACAGGUGC
rnacentral:rRNA from 1 species